GCUUUAUUUCCAAGGCCUUUAUUUUGUAAUUCCUCAUUUACAUGAAUGUGUUUUCAUCCUUGGUGUACACACAUACACAAAAUUUGAAAUAAUUUUGUUUCCAAAAGGUUUUAGCACAGGAAGCCAAAUGUUCCCUGGACUCGGCAAUGGAUACGGAGCAGGUAAUAUUUGCUGGCAGUAAAUGUCUUGAUCACAAGACAUUUUUUUUUGUUUGUUCUCAGCUAAAGUGAGGAUACACUUUGAUAUUUUUCCUGUGUUCACUCAGGUUACGGACAAGGAGGCUACCUUGGAGCUGGAUAUGGGAAUGGACAUCCAUUUGGAGGUGAAAUUUUAAAUGGAAACGCUUUAAAUUAAGCACAUUGUAUUAGUGUGUAAGAUAAUGAAUAGUUAGGAAAGUUUACAUCUUUAAAAAUCUGCCAUUGUAAUUUUACUGAAAUAUUGUUGUUUCUCUCUGGAAAUGUUGGGCCAUAUUUUGACUGCCAUUGUUGGAUAUUAACAUCUAACAUAGUUUAUGUUUUGCUGCAGGUUAUGCAAAUGGCUACGGUGCAGGUGUACAGCCUGACUAUGCAAGUAAGAGCAUUUUAUGACAUUUAGUUGAGAAAUUUUGUUUUGCAGCAGUUAAUUUUUGUGUAAACUGCAACAUUUCUCUGUGUUUCCAGGCCUUGGACAAGGUGUGCCUGUUCCUGAUGGCAAAUCAGGUAUUGGCAUCGGUGGGCUGCAGUUUUCUGGGCAGCCUGUCGGUACGGGAAUUAAUCGUGCAGGAAAGUAUGGUACGUCUGUCACCGUGGUGUGGCUUGGCUGAAAUUGUGCUCAACAAAGAGGAAGUAUAACCACAUUUGUCCCAUUUUUUUCCAGGUUAUGGAUUUAGCCCCUAUGGUGCUGCAGGUGACGGAAAGCCGUUUGGAAAAUAUGGAUAUGGAGGGUUCCCCAAUGGUGGACAACUACUUGGCCUUGGCAAUGCUGGAAAUACAGCUGGUAAAUAUGGUUAUGGAAGGCUGCCUUAUGAAGCUCAACCAGCUGGACUGGGCCCUGAAACAAAAUCUACUGGUCUGGCUGUGUCACAAUAUCAACCUGACACACUCGGGCUUGGACAUAAUGUGAAAGGAAAAUAUGGUGGCGCUGAGGUUCCCUAUGCACCACAGGCUGUUGGUUUUGGUGGUGAAGCUAAAUCUUCUGGGAAAUAUGAUAAUCAGGGAGCUUACCAGUCACAGCCUCUUGAAACUGCAGCUGAAGGUGCAGCAGGUUUAACUUAUGAGCCCCAGCCCCUUGAGUCCUAUUCAGCUAGAAAAUCCUACGUGAAAGGAGAGGUGCCCACUCCGGGGCCUGCAGCUGAAGGCGUGGGGAGGUUCAUUGGUGGAUAUGAAAACCUGGGCUACAUAAAUGGCCGAGUGCAACCACAAGUUCCUGUGUUUCCUGCAGCCCCCACCCCCAGCCCCAACCUGGCCUAUCCGUCUGUCCCCUCCCGUCUCCCUGCAGAGUCCUCAUUCACAGCUGACGCGAUGCCCGGUGAUGUUCGGCACUUCCCCGAUCUAGAAGGGACAGCCGGCCUCACCCUCGACUCGCCUCCUGCUCAGGUGUCCGAGCAACCCGACGACCUGCCGCGUCAGAUACACAUCCAGCAGCAUCUCAAACUGCAUUUUCAGCCACAAGGAGCAAAGGACAGCAAAUAUGAUCUGAAUGGCUUCUUUGGGGAUAGUGGGCAUCAAGGUUAA
ensembl:lncRNA